rnacentral:rRNA from 1 species
UACGUAGGGUGCAAGCGUUAAUCGGAAUUACUGGGCGUAAAGCGUGCGUAGGUGGUGAGUUAAGUCUGUCGUGAAAGCCCCGGGCUCAACCUGGGAAUUGCGAUGGAUACUGGCAAGCUAGAGUACGGUAGAGGAUGGUGGAAUUCCCGGUGUAGCGGUGAAAUGCGUAGAGAUCGGGAGGAACACCUGUGGCGAAGGCGGCCAUCUGGACCAGUACUGACGCUGAGGCACGAAAGCGUGGGGAGCGAACAGG